GACGAACGCUGGCGGCGUGCUUAACACAUGCAAGUCGAACGGUAAGGCCCUUCGGGGUACACGAGUGGCGAACGGGUGAGUAACACGUGGGUGAUCUGCCCUGCACUUCGGGAUAAGCCUGGGAAACUGGGUCUAAUACCGGAUAGGACCCUGGGAUGCAUGUCCUGGGGUGGAAAGCUUUUGCGGUGUGGGAUGGGCCCGCGGCCUAUUAGCUUGUUGGUGGGGUGAUGGCCUACCAAGGCGACGACGGGUAGCCGGCCUGAGAGGGUGACCGGCCACACUGGGACUGAGAUACGGCCCAGACUCCUACGGGAGGCAGCAGUGGGGAAUGUUGCACAAUGGGCGCAAGCCCGAUGCAGCGACGCCGCGUGAGGGAUGACGGCCUUCGGGUUGUAAACCUCUUUCAGCACCGACGAAGCGCAAGUGACGGUAGGUGCAGAAGAAGGACCGGCCAACUACGUGCCAGCCGCCGCGGUAA
rnacentral:rRNA from 1 species